UGGGGAAUUUUGCGCAAUGGGCGAAAGCCUGACGCAGCAACGCCGCGUGUGUGAUGAAGGUCUUCGGAUUGUAAAGCACUUUCGACCGGGACGAAAACCCUGAGGCCAACACCCUCAGGCUUGACGGUACCGGGAGAAGAAGCACCGGCUAACUCUGUGCCAGCAGCCGCGGUAAUACAGAGGGUGCAAGCGUUGUUCGGAAUUAUUGGGCGUAAAGCGCGUGUAGGCGGCUUUGCAAGUCGGGUGUGAAAGCCCUCAGCUCAACUGAGGAAGUGCGCCCGAAACUGCAGAGCUUGAGUGCCGGAGAGGGUGGCGGAAUUCCCCAAGUAGAGGUGAAAUUCGUAGAUAUGGGGAGGAACACCGGUGGCGAAGGCGGCCACCUGGACGGUAACUGACGCUGAGACGCGAAAGCGUGGGGAGCAAACA
rnacentral:rRNA from 1 species